rnacentral:tRNA from 1 species
GGGCGGUUAGCUCAGUUGGUAGAGCACACCCUUCACACGGGUGGGGUCACAGGUUCAAGUCCUGUACCGCCCA